CAAAAGUUUGGUCCUGACUUUACCAUCAGCUUUAACCCAAUUUACACAUGCAAGUCUCCGCAGCCCUGUGAGAAUGCCCUUAAUCCCCCGUCCGGGAACAAGGAGCCGGUAUCAGGCACAAACACACCUUAGCCCAAGACGCCUUGCUUAGCCACACCCUCAAGGGAAUUCAGCAGUGACAAAUAUUAAGCCAUAAGUGAAAACUUGACUUAGUUAGGUUUAAAAGGGCCGGUAAAACUCGUGCCAGCCACCGCGGUUAUACGAGAGGCCCUAGUUGAUGAAUAGCGGCGUAAAGCGUGGUUAAGGAGCACAUACAAUAAAGCAAAAAACCCGCCUAGCCGUUAUACGCAAAAGAGGAUAAGAGUCACUAUCACGAAAGUAGCUUUAACCCCGCCCACCUGAACCCACGACAGCUAGGGCACAAACUGGGAUUAGAUACCCCACUAUGCCUUGCCGUAAACUUAGAUAUUAACAUACAAUAAAUAUCCGCCUGGGAACUACGAGCAUUAGCUUAAAACCCAAAGGACUUGGCGGUGCUUCAGAACCCCCUAGAGGAGCCUGUUCUAGAACCGAUAAUCCCCGUUCAACCUCACCACUUCUUGCCUUCUACCGCCUAUAUACCACCGUCGCCAGCUCACCCUAUGAAGGCAUAAAAGUUAGCAAAAUGAGUAAACCUCAAAACGUCAGGUCGAGGUGUAGCAAACGAAGUGGAAAGAAAUGGGCUACAUUAUCUGAAACAGAUAACCACGGAAGACUGUUUGAAACAAACAAUCUGAAGGCGGAUUUAGCAGUAAAGGGGGAACAGAGUGCCCCCUUGAAGCCGGCUCUGAAGUGCGUACACACCGCCCGUCACUCUCCCCGAGGCCCCAUCAGACCCGUAAUUAACAAUACUAAGUAGCAAAAAGGGGAGGCAAGUCGUAACAUGGUAAGUGUACCGGAAGGUGCACUUGGAACAACC
rnacentral:ncRNA from 1 species